UGCCCCUCCCCCUCCUCCUCCACUGUACAGAAGCGGUGAGGAGCGGUACACAUAGCAUCACGCCCCCUUUUUUCAUUUGUUCAGUUAUCGAGUAGCCUUCAACCUUCUUCGUAAGAGACCUGAAUUCGCAGGAAGAGCGAGAGCGCGACUGGCGAAGAGGCGUUCGCUGACCCGUGUGUGGCAAACCCCAUUCCGCUCCCUCUCCACCACAUCCUCCCUCAGCCUUUUUCUUGCCUGACGAAGGCUGAGGCGCACCACCGGCGAAUUUCCGUCCGUUUUUCUUUUUCGCGGCCUUCUGUUGCUUCCGCGACAAGGCCGCGCGUGCAGGAGCCGAUAAGCGCAUGCGCGCGUCUGCGCUCUGCUCUUAGACACACCCACACGCGAGCAUCCACACGGGGUGCGCCUCGUCGUUCCUUUUUUUUUUCUGCUCCCUUUCCGCGCAUACGGCGGCGAUAUGUAUAGGCAGCAGCGUGCACAACAGUUGCGGGGCGGCCGCGGGUACCCGACAGAGGUGGCCGGGAGGGAUCGCGUGAAGUUCUUCCGCCGUCCCGUCGAACCCGCAAACAUCGUUCUGGAGAACGCCAACAACAACGCAAACACCGCCACCUGUGCGGACGCGAUGCAGGCGCAGUUUGCCGCUAGCUGCCCCUCCUUUUCGAUGCCGUCCAAUGCGGCCGCGUUCGCGUCAUCUGUGCCCCACGGUAGGGCGGCCGGGCGCACCAGCCAGCGGCCCUCCUCUGCCCUCGGCUGGCGUCCACGCCAAGCCGACUCCUCCAGCCGGAUGGGCGGCAACGGUUUUCUUCGUAGAGGCGGUGCUGGCCUGCGAGGGGCAAAGCCGCAUCAUCUUCCGAGUCUUGAGAGAGGCGACGCAGCAGACGCCGUCAGCAGCGGGGGCGAAGCCCAGCCGGACGGCCGUGCUGUGGCGUCGGUGCAGACCAUGUAUCGCGACAACGAAGCACAGACAGAUCCGUACUCGCCCGACUACGUCAUUCCGGAGGGAGCCCCCACGCCGGAGAUUCUGGGUCUUCAGAGCCUCACAUACCAGAAUGGCGGGCUUCCGUCUGGGAAGGAAGGCGUGGAGCUCAUCCAGCGGCUGCGCCGCCGCCGUGACGUCGAGGCGUCGCUGCCAACCGGGACUGAUGCGGCUUCCAUCGAGGCCAGGUACACUGCUCUGCACGAGCUGGAAGAAAAGGAGUGGGCCGAGCGCGAGGACCAUGUCGCGCAGCUACAGCAGCGGCGACUAGAGCGGCUGAGGGAGUCGUUGUUGGCGCGCGAGGUGGCCCGCGAGGAGGCCAACCGGAGGCGUUUGGGGCAGAUCAAAUCGCAGUACCUCGAAUCCUUAGGUGGAAAACUGACGUCGCUUGAGAUGCGCCGUAUGGCAGCAAGCAAGCGCGGCACCGACAAGAUGGCGCAGCUGCAGGCAUUGGGGAUCGGUGGCGCAGCGGGCCAAACCUCAGAGGCAGGGGCGACCCUUGGCAUUCCUUCAACAACGGCUUCUAUGAAGCGUUCCACCGCCACCUCGAAGAGCGGCAGAGCCAAGCCAUCUAUUGCGACCUACUCGCGCUACGGCACGGAUGGUGCGCCUCCGCAGAUCGAGCAGAGCGACAUCACUGGCGGCUCUAGCAUUGACGCUCGCCUCCGCGCGGCCAGGCAAGCAUUCAACUACGAUAUUCGGCCGCAGCUACUGGCCGACCCGGCGGGGACAGAGGUGGUUGAUGCCGAGCGUGGCGCCAGAGUGGAUCGGGUGUCACCGAAGACGUUUGUCGUGCCAGAGAACGAGGCGGUGCAGCGUCUGCCAACGCUGUAUCAGCGCCGCGAGCAGGAGCGAGUCCUGCACUCGCUCGAGUACGCCUACAACAAGCUGCAUCCCUCUGAGGAUGCUGAAGGUGGCAAGGCGUGUGAGAUGACGGCGCAGCGGGUGCUGGAGCUGUACAGGGCCACGCCGAAGCUGCAGCGACCAGAGACACCGGUGCUGAGGCUGGACGGUGAUGAGCAAGAGGAGGAGCAAGACGCCUGCAUCCUCCUUCAACGCCUGCUGCGUGGCCGUGCGGUGCAGAACGACUUCUUCGACGGCCGUGAACGUUGCCGCGGACUCAUCGAAGAGCUGCAGGCUGCUUCUACAGCUCAGACGGCGGAUCAGCUGGCGUCCGCGAAGCGAAAGGAGGAGUUGCUGGCUGCGGAGCGGGAGGCGGAGGCGGAGCACAUCGUGGGUAGCGCGCUCGGCGCCAUUGUGCACGACACACUCGGGUUCCUGUCUCAAGAGCUGGGCCGCCAGCAGGACAUGGCGGCACUUCGACGGUUGCAGGAAGAGGCCGAGGUGGUGCGUGCGACUCGCGAGGCGGCCGAGCGUGCCCGUCGUGCAGAGGUGCGCCAGCAGCGUGACCGCAACGAGGUCGCCUACGCGGCGUACAUGCGUGCCACCGACACGACGCUGCAGUGCUUCCUUGACGAUGUUACGCGGUCUGCGGUGGAGGAGACGGCGAUGGCUGUGGCGGUGGAGGCAGAACGGGCUCGCCAAGCCGCCCAUCCCUCACCACGGCAUCCUGCGACCGAGGAGGAGGCAGAGGACGCUGUGUGCGACAUGCUGGACGGGUUCGUCAUUCCAGCGAUUUUGGAUGCCAUUGGGUUACAGGGACGCGAGCUGGAGAAGAAGGCGGUGGCAGGCGCGGCGCUGGAUGCUGCCCACACCUUGAGUAAGGCAUGCGGCAGACCACCCACUUGACAUGACGUCUGCUGCAGCCGCUGCCGCCCUCCAACUUGUACACAAGCGACGUUGUUCUGCUCGUCUGCUUCUGCGUCUUAUUCGUUGCUGCCUCCCUCACGUCAUCCCCAGUGCCCAUGUGCGCAGGUGGACUCCGGUGCUGGAGAGGACUCCACCUCCUCCCCCACCCGCGCUGGCUUUGCGACCCUGCAUCCGUUAGCGUGUGCGUGUGCGAGUCCGCUCGCCACCGACUUGCGAUGCACGCUAACAUUUCCGCAUGAAUGCAUAUCUCGGUCCCCCGCGUUUGCCUUAGAAGGAUGUACAUACGUAAAACCAUUGGUCCCUCUUUUUUUCUUCUUCCGUCUUGCUGGGAUGCUUGUGUGCGUGUGGGAACGUCUCGCUGCCUUCCCCUCGUUCUCUCCCCAUCUCUGGUUGUGCAUGCGCGCAUGCGUUGGAACGCAUUCGUCUCAUAUGUUGUGUUGUUUGGGGGGGGGCUUGGCGUUAAAGUGCGAAGAGACAGGGAGAGCGCGCGCGCCUCUCUCGGCGAGUACGUGUGGUGGGGAGCGAUCAGGCUGUUUACGGAUCGAUUGCACUUGCCCUGCGCACUCGCCUAUUGGUUUUGUGACUGUUGUUCUAUGGAACCCCUAAGCUUGAGCGUGCGUGCUUCACUGUAUCGCUGUGAGUGCGAUGAUGUUGCCCCAGCUUCCCUCUACUUCUACACUUGAGUGCCUCGAUGCUGUGGCCUCUUCUUUCCGGUUUUGUUUUCGCCUUUGCUCGAUGUUAUGCUUCGCCCUCCUCGACCUUUUUCCCAUCGGUUCUCCGUCUUGGUAUGUGUGCAUUCGACUGUAACAUCUCUCCAUCUCGUCCGACCGCGUCCACCAGCUGCGCAG
rnacentral:misc_RNA from 1 species